rnacentral:rRNA from 1 species
GGGGCCGAUUCCGGGAAUUAUUGGGCGUAAGAGCUCGUAGGCGGUUUGUCGCGUCUGCCGUGAAAGUCCGGGGCUCAACUCCGGAUCUGCGGUGGGUACGGGCAGACUAGAGUGAUGUAGGGGAGACUGGAAUUCCUGGUGUAGCGGUGAAAUGCGCAGAUAUCAGGAGGAACACCGAUGGCGAAGGCAGGUCUCUGGGCAUUAACUGACGCUGAGGAGCGAAAGCAUGGGGAGCGAACAGGAUUAGAUACCCUGGUAGUCCAUGCCGUAAACGUUGGGCACUAGGUGUGGGGGACAUUCCACGUUUUCCGCGCCGUAGCUAACGCAUUAAGUGCCCCGCCUGGGGAGUACGGCCGCAAGGCUAAAACUCAAAGGAAUUGACGGGGGCCCGCACAAGCGGCGGAGCAUGCGGAUUAAUUCGAUGCAACGCGAAGAACCUUACCAAGGCUUGACAUGAACCGGUAAUACCUGGAAACAGGUGCCCCGCUUGCGGUCGGUUUACAGGUGGUGCAUGGUUGUCGUCAGCUCGUGUCGUGAGAUGUUGGGUUAAGUCCCGCAACGAGCGCAACCCUCGUUCUAUGUUGCCAGCACGUGAUGGUGGGGACUCAUAGGAGACUGCCGGGGUCAACUCGGAGGAAGGUGGGGACGACGUCAAAUCAUCAUGCCCCUUAUGUCUUGGGCUUCACGCAUGCUACAAUGGCCGGUACAAAGGGUUGCGAUACUGUGAGGUGGAGCUAAUCCCAAAAAGCCGGUCUCAGUUCGGAUUGGGGUCUGCAACUCGACUCCGUGAAGUUGGAAUCGCUAGUAAUCGUGGAUCAGAAUGCCACAGUGAAUACGUUCCCGGGCCUUGUACACACCGCCCGUCACACCACGAAAGUUGGCUGUACCAGAAGUUGCUGGGCUAACCCCGCAAGGGGAGGCAGGCACCUAAAGUACGGUUGAUGAUUGGGGUGAAGUCGUAACAAGGUAAC